GGAUUUCUGUCGUGGUCAUCCGGCUCCGCCUGUAUAGGUGUGCGCCUGGUUUGCCCUCGGCUUUCUUCCGGUAGCCUACCGCGCUUCACUGCGUGCGUGGGUGUUUUCCGGAACUUUUACUUUGAGAAAAAUAGAGUGUUUCAAGCAGGCUUGUCGCCCUGAAUACUUCAGCAUGGAAUAAUAAGAUAGGACCUUGGUUCUAUUUUGUUGGUUUCUAGGACCAAGGUAAUGGUUAAUAGGGACAGUUGGGGGCAUUCGUAUUUAACUGUCAGAGGUGAAAUUCUUAGAUUUGUUAAAGACGAACUACUGCGAAAGCAUUUGCCAAGGAUGUUUUCAUUAAUCAAGAACGACAGUAGGGGGUUUGAAGACGAUUAGAUACCGUCGUAAUCUCUACCAUAAACUAUGCCGACUAGAGAUAGGAAAUGCAUUAUCCCAAUCUUCCCUGCACCUCAUGAGAAAUCAAAGUCUCUGGGUUCUGGGGGGAGUAUGGUCGCAAGGCUGAAACUUAAAG
rnacentral:rRNA from 1 species